GAAACAUUCAAAGACUAAAACUUUAUUUUGUAUCAAUGAUAUGACACAAUGUUAUAGGACCUCUGUAAACAACAUGUUCUUGCCCAGUUGUGUCAAGAAGAUCAUGACAUAGAGCUUCGAUCAAGAAGGAGAUAAUUAUAGACUAGACCUUCCCUACGGGAGAAUCAAUAGUCAAUCACUUCUUAAUAAUACGAGAAUGAUUCAGAUCUAGUUCAUGGCCUAUAAAAGGAGCUCUAGUGGGAUUUUGGAGUCGGUUCGAUAAUGAAUGAGUGACACUGUGUAACACAUGUCUCUGCACCCGGUAGAAAGUAUCGUUUCUAUAUAACUAACUAGAUGUGGUGAAGGUUUAUCCAGCCUAGUGGGGAAUCAAACUCGGUGGGAAUAUUAGCCUGACACUCUUGUUGCGAAAAAUGUCAAAGUUCAUCUACACAUUCUAAGCAAAUGCUGAUAUAAGAAAAGGUAUCCUAUGGGCUCCAUGAUGUUAAAGUUUCAACUUUUUCAAGAAUUGCCAACAAGAAAUUUCCAUCAUGCCAGAUCAGUUCUCUAUAAGCACAUACUUUUAUCUACAAGGCAACCAAAAAUUGAAAAUC
rnacentral:misc_RNA from 1 species